AUCUUCUGUCUGUCUGUCAAAUCACUAGAAAAUGAUGGUUUCUUUUCAAUUACCUAACUUAUUAUGUGUACACAUCCUUUGUAUUGCAGAGAUGAUCCAGAACAUGACAGAAUGUAUAAGGUGAGAGUUAGAUGGGGUGAUCCUAUGGCACAUUUGGUCAAGAAAAGUAUCCUGAGCUUGUUCUAUCAGACCUAGGAGAUGAUGAUAAGAUGAAAGAAUCAGGGUUUAUAGUCCCUCAAGACAUUCCUAGUCACAGCUGGUUAAAAAGAGGAUUAGAUGCUCCUCCAAACCGGUAUGCCAUCAGACCAGGGAGACACUGGGAUGGGGUCGAUUGUAGUAAUGGGUUUGAAAAGGAAAUCUUUAAAAGGACGAACGAGAAACAGGGCACGGAAAGCGAAGCAUAUCUUUGGUCUGUAUCAGAUAUGUGAAGUGCAAGGACUGUAUUCUUCAUGCUGUUGCUACAGGGGUUAUACUCAGUUUAGUGUUUGUGUUAAGUGGUAGUUAGAGACGAGUACAAGAAAAAUAGCUUGGAAAAGAAGCUCUGAUGUGCUGUAAAAAAUAAGGAUAGACAAUGACAGAUGGUUAUAUACAUUGCCUGUAGUGCAUGCGGCCCUGUUCUUGC